AGAGCUGGAGGCGGCGGCGGCGCGGCGACGUCUCGACGCCGUCCUGGAGCAGCUCCUGCAGCGCGGGCCCAGGGAGCCGCUGGAGGAGGAGCCUGGGAAAGCCCCCGGGGACCCCCCGGCCAAGGAGGCCUCGCCCAGCGCUCCGGGAAAAAGGUGAGGAGACAGAAUUCCCAAAAUUCCCACAAAAUUCCCUAAAAUUCCCACAAAAUUACCA